rnacentral:rRNA from 1 species
AUUGAACGCUGGCGGCAGGCCUAACACAUGCAAGUCGAACGAGUGGCGGACGGGUGAGUAAUGUAUGGGGAACUGCCUGAUAGAGGGGGAUAACUACUGGAAACGGUGGCUAAUACCGCAUACUAUCGGAUGUACCCAUAUGGGAUUAGCUAGUAGGUGGGGUAACGGCUCACCAAGGCGACGAUCCCUAGCUGGUCUGAGAGGAUGACCAGCCACACUGGGACGGAGACACGGUCCAGACUCCUACGGGAGGCAGCAGUGGGGAAUAUUGCACAAUGGGCGCAAGCCUGAUGCAGCCAUGCCGCGUGUAUGAAGAAGGCCUUAGGGUUGUAAAGUACUUUCAGCGGGGAGGCGUUACCCGCAGAAGAAGCACCGGCUAACUCCGUGCCAGCAGCCGCGGUAAUAC